UACCGGAGAAUGUUAUCACGGGAGACACACGGCGGGUGCUAACGUCCGUCGUGAAGAGGGAAACAACCCAGACCGCCAGCUAAGGUCCCAAAGUCAUGGUUAAGUGGGAAACGAUGUGGGAAGGCCCAGACAGCCAGGAUGUUGGCUUAGAAGCAGCCAUCAUUUAAAGAAAGCGUAAUAGCUCACUGGUCGAGUCGGCCUGCGCGGAAGAUGUAACGGGGCUAAACCAUGCACCGAAGCUGCGGCAGCGACACUAUGUGUUGUUGGGUAGGGGAGCGUUCUGUAAGCCUGUGAAGGUGUACUGUGAGGUAUGCUGGAGGUAUCAGAAGUGCGAAUGCUGACAUAAGUAACGAUAAAGCGGGUGAAAAGCCCGCUCGCCGGAAGACCAAGGGUUCCUGUCCAACGUUAAUCGGGGCAGGGUGAGUCGACCCCUAAGGCGAGGCCGAAAGGCGUAGUCGAUGGG
rnacentral:rRNA from 1 species